UUGGAAGUAAAAAAAUAAGAAAAAAACACACAGAAUUUGUAUGGAGAAAAAAUAUAAUACAAAAGAAAAAUAAAAUAAUAAAAAAAGAAAAAAAAAAACAAAACGCAGUGUCGGUUGCGUUCUAAUCCAAACUACGGUGGAUCAUCAGUAGUGUCGUCAGUUCGAUACAAGUCGCCUGCUGCCUCUGCUCUCUCUAAGUUUUUUUUUUGGUUUUACAUAUUUUGAUACAAAAAAUAAAAAAAAAAAAACAAAGCAACAAAAAAGCUUAUAAUAAAAAAAAAAUUACAAAAAAAAAAUAUUAAAAACUUAAAAAUUUUAUUUGUUUAUUUUUUUUUUAAAUAAAAUAUUUAAUUAUUAUUUUUUUACAAUAAAUACAAAAAACACAAAAUAAAAAUUACAUAAAAAAAAAUAUUAUGGAUUAAUUAAAAAUUGACAACAAAAAAUUGAAAAUAAAUAAAAAAAUUUAAAUUAAAAAUUUUUAAAACAAAAAAAAAAUACAAAUUUAAUUAACUUAUCUAUAAAUAUUGAAACGAAAAGUGACAAAAAUAAAUUAAAAAAUAAAUUAAAGUAAAAAACAAAACACCUAAACGUUUAUAAAAUCAUACAAGAAAAUCAAAGAAUAAUUGCAAUUUUAUUAAAUACAAAAAUCUUAAUAUAAAAUUUAAUAAAUGUGAGCAUACGUAAACUAUGAAGUGUUAAUUAAGUUAAGAACCAACCAUAAGGAAAAAAUUGUAAUUAAUUUUAAAAAAAUUUUAAUAAAAUUUAAAAUUUUCGAAAAAAAAAGAAAAAAACUUUGUAAGAAAAUUGAAAAAUAAUCAUUAAAAUUACAUAGUAAUAUGAUCACAUUAUUUUCAAGGAUAAUUAAUAAAUAAUUUUCAAAAAAUUAAAAAUUAUAAAAUUUAAAUUUAAAAAAACACGUUUAUAAAUACACACCCAUACAAAUAAAUCAUAUCGCUUAUGGCUAGUAAAAAAUUGAAAAUUGGAAAACUUUUUUGAAUAUAAAUUGAAUAAAAAGUGUAAAAAAUUUCAUGUAAAAAACAUUUUGACCAUAAUUUGGCAAAAAAAAACAAAAAUAAAAUUCAAAGAACCAAAAAAAAAACAUUAAAAAGUAAAUUUGAACUUUAAUUUAAAUUUUUUUUUCAAAAAGAAAGUAACAAAUAAAUUCUGGAAAUCAAAAAUUUUUAUUUAUUUUUAGUCAAUUAUUAUUAAAUUUUACAUUUUGCAAAUUAAUGAACAAAAUUAUUCCAUUGAAUUUCUUCAAUUUCUUAAGUGAUUUUAACAAUUUAAUUGAGUUCUCAAACAAACAAAUAACAAUAACAACAAAAAACGAAAAAAAUUUUAAUAGAAUAAUUUUUGUUAAUCCUUGAAAUUCUAUGUGUAUAAGACUUUUAAAAUAGUAAUUUUCACACAUAAUAUCAAAAAGGAUAACAAAUGUGGAAAUAUCAUUGAAAGAAUAAAAUUUUGUUAAGAAUAAAAUUAAUAAAUUUUAAAUAAAAUUCAAGGAACUGAAACAAAAAUUUUAAAAUAAAUAAAAACAAAAAUAUUAAAUAAAACAAAAAAAAAAUAAAUAUAUACUUAAGUGUUUUAAUUUUUUUUAUUUUUUCUCAAUUUUUACCACCACCAUUUAAACAAUUUCUAUAAUAAUAACAACAACAACAGAAAUUAAAAUUGAUAAUUAAAAACUAUUGAAAAAAUUUAAUACUUAAGAAAAAAAAAAACAUUUUGAAAAUUAAAUUUAAAAAAUAAAUAAAAAAAUUUGAUGAAAAAUUCAAAAUUUUGGAAAAUAAUUUUCGUCUUUGUGUAAAUUCAAAAAAAAAUCUAUGAAAAAUAAUUAAAAAAUUCGCACAAAUAAUUAUUUAUUAAUUAUAAUAUUGUAAAUACUAUAAAAUUUACUUUAAGAGGAAAUUACAAUAAGAGACAUAAUUUGAACAGAAACGAAGAGAGAAAAAAAAUUUCCCUAAAUGAGAACAAAUUUGAAAUAAAAUAAAAAUUUUUCGUCAAAUUUAAAUUGCCAUCAAAUUUCUGCAUAAUUUUAGAACAUUUUGGAUGUGUGUCUAAUUACUUUCAUUUAUGUAUGUAAAAUCGUGUUAAAUAUUUUUAAAUUUUUUUAUUUUGAUAACAAGAAAAAAAAAAUGUUACGUUUUAUCGGGACUCUCGUUUUAUAAAUUUGAAACUAUUUUCAUAUUAUAUGAAUUUUAAAUUUGUAUUUAAAUUUUGUACUUUAAAAUAAAAUUUUAAAACUUAUGUAUGUAAAAAUAUGUAUAUGUAUAUGUUCCAAAAAAAAAUAAAUUAAAUAUUUUUUUUUAAUUUUUUGUAUUUAAAAUUGAAAUUUUUUUUGCUCUUUAACUUUAAAGUGAUUUGCUAUUAUUCCAAAAUUGUAAACAAAUACAAAGUUUGUCAUUUAAAGAUUAUUAAUAAAAUUUCGAAAAUUUGAAUUUUGAAAUUGAGAUUUAAAAAUUUAAAGAAGAAAUUGUUUUUUUGUCGUGUACAUGAAGAAAAGUUUUGGUAAAAUUUAAAAUCAUUUUUGUACUAACAGAAAAUAAAAGAAAAAACUUGAAGAAAAACAAAACUAUUUUGACAAUACAAAAAAAAAAGGCAAUUUGAUUAAAUAAUUUAAGAAAAAAAAAAUUUUUAGAAUCCAGUCGUUUUCGGUUUAUAAUUUUUUUUUUUUGCUGUUUCUGGACCUUUUAUUACAAUUAAAAUUAUAAAAAAAUUAAAUUUUAAUUUUGUUUUUGUGUUCUUUUUUUUUUUUGUUUAUUAAUGAAAGUGUGGACACAAUUUUCAAAUUAUUAUUAAAAUUGUGUGGGUGAUUUAGAAAGUUGGAGAAGAAAAACGAACAAAAUAAAUCAUUGUUUGGAUUUUUUUUGUUGUUUCUUAUUUUAUAAAACGAAGUGGAUUCAAUUAGAGCAAAAACGGUUUCGAAAUUACAUGACGAAAAAUUUUUUUUAAUUAACAAAAACAAGAAAACAAACUUUAAGGAUUAAUCAUUAAUAAAAAAUUAAUAAGAAAAUAAAGGAAAAUUAAAAAAAAAAAAAAAUUUACCACUACUGCUAUUACGAUAAUAACAAGAAAAACAUAUUGUUCAAAUCUAAUAAUUUAGAAAAACAAAAAUUAGAAAAAUAUUUUAAAAAUAACAGCAAACACGAAAACAAAAACGCCUUUUAAAUCAUUAAUACAGAACGGAAUCGGAAAAACAUUAAGAAAAAAUCAAAUAAAGUCAAAAUCAUAAUUAAAUUUUGUAUUUAAAGCCGUGCUUUCUCCAUUUUAAGUGGAUCUUGGCAUCACGGCCAAACAAAACAUUUAUCUUAUGGAUUGCUGGACGGGUAACGCCCGACUGGCGAGUGUUUUAGUUUAAGGUGAGUCUAAUAUUUUGAAAAUGAUUUCAAUUUCAGCAAAAAAUGGUACAAUAAUUUUAACUGUAAGUUUAUUUUUUAAAAUUUAUUUUAAAAUCUUAAGUUUAUUAUUAAAAUUAACACUAAAUUGGAAAAUUUUAUAAAAUAGUUUGUUUAUAAAAUAGAAGAGCAAAACAUUUUCAAUUAUAAUCAUUAUUGUAGGCAAUGUUAUUUACGAUUUAAGUCAUUGUCAUAAUAGUCAUAUGAGAGUCAUUUAUUAUAAAUAAAAUUGUACAUUCGAAAUGCAUCUAUACUAAUUACCUGUGAUAAUUGCAUAAUAAUCAAUUUCUCAAUAUUAAAGGAAAAUGCAAAAUAAAAAAGAAAAUGUGUAAUAAAAGGAAAUGUAAAUGAGAGAACGAAAUUUGAUACAGGCAACUAUAAGAAAACGCCAUUUAAUUUUGCGGUUUUCUUUAAUAAAACUGUUAUACAAAAAUUUGUAUUUAAAUUUAUAUGAAAAACGGAUAUCUCAUAUAGCUUGACUUUAUUACUAAUAUAGGAUUUCUAGUCUAGUAUAACAUUCAAGGAUUAAGUCUAGGAGAAUUAUUAAAAAUAUUACGUAAAAGUAAUGAAGACUUUUGUUUUAAAUUUUGCAUUAUUCUUAAAUAAUCUAAUGAGCGUCCUAAUAAAUAUAAUUUCUGCAGUGUAAUCAAAUCUAAUUAUAUGUAAAAGUCAUGGUGCAUGCAUAUGAUUAUAACAUAACAUGCAUAAAUCAAGCAGCCAAUUAAGCUGAAUUUUGACAUUCCGCUUUUUUUAUAGAACAGUAGCAAUAUAAUUUUGAGGUUGAUCGCGACGUAUCGGGUUUAGUGUGUUCUACAAUUUUUGUUCGGACAUUAUUAUUAUUCUCAAGAUAGAUUGGGAAGAUAUUACAUCAUUAUCAGCGGGAUAAUAUUUAUAAGUAUUCUGCGCGGUAGUUCUUCUGUCAUUUCGCGGCAGUAAAAUAAAAAAAUACAAUAUUUAAGCUACCAUACAUUGUUUUUAUUGUGAUUUUGGAAUUCCGAAGAACUACAAAUGAAGAAAGACAAAAUUAUUAUUUGGUCUUUAUUAGUAUAGCUUACAGAACCUACACAUAUAAUAGUAUUUGUAUUAGAACACUGGCAAUCCUUAUUAUCUGGUAAAGACUCUUUCCCUUAAUAGUUAUUUAAAAAUAUUUUGAAUGACAGUUUAAAUUUCCGUUUCCGGACACAUAUUUGCUGAACUGAAAAGUCUGUAACCUCGCAAUAUUAAUUAUCAACUAUAAGACAGUUAAAGAAAGAAGAUAGAUUUAAUUUUUUAAGAAAAGUAGAAUUUUCAAGCACAUUAUAAACGGGUGAUCGAAUAUUUUAUAAACUACUAACCAUUAAUUCUGUCAGUGUCGGAACAGUAAAGUUAUAAAAAAAUUAAACGUUAAAUAGCACAAGCAUUACAAAACAGAGGCAAAAUAUAAUUUUUUUAGCUUUACCAUAAGCGAAAAAUCACAAAAAAAAAAACAACCAAUUAAGAAUGCAAUUGCGCGCAUUUAUUAUUCAUCUAAAGCAUCAAUAAAAUGAACGAACAAAAAAAAAAGAAUUUUUUUUUUUCAGUAAUGGACGCGUGUGAAUUCACAUUACCUGUUCAGUGUUUAAAUAAUAAUUGCGCAAUACGAUUGUGAUAACUAUAAUUGCGGCAGGGGAAUUCGAAUUGUUUAUUUUUUUCUUCUUCUUUUUUUUUUAUUACUAUCUUCGUUAUUUUCAUUUUUGUUUGCUUUAUUUUCAUAUAAACCUGUAAUUAAUUAAUUUUAACAGAUGCGUAGAGAAUAUUUUAUUCGCUUACAUGUCCUAUGUAUGUAUGUGUGUAAUAAAAUUUGUAAUCAUGCAAUUUAGCAUACACAUAAAAGGUAUAUAUGUAAAAUUUUUAUUAAAUCAUCUCAUUUACUUAAUUUGCAAUGUUAUAUAUUAUAUAUACAAAUAUGUUCAUAUACGUAUGUAGUUCUUAGUAAAUGCAUAUAUUAUAUACCUUAUAUAAAUAUGAAUAUAAUUUGUAUUUAAAUAAUAUCAGCUAAUUUAUGUGCUUCUUCAGUUAUAUAAAAUUCAACAAAAUUAAGUGUUGUGUGUUAUGUCAUUCAUUUCAAUUCAAUUAAAGAAAUUUUAUUCGCAUAUUGGGAAGAAUAACGACACAACUGAAAAAUAUAACUGCGACUUCCGGAAUUUAAAGUAUUUAUAACCGAGUUUAAAUUUCUAUCGAAAUAUUUAUCGAAAAAUGUUGGUAUAGAACAAAUUUCAGAAAUAUUUUGUUACAGGAAAGCUUUAUAUAUUAAAUUUUGAUAGUAAUAAAAGCAAGUUUGCGAUUCUGCAUUUUGACUUAUGUCAUUGUUCUUGCAAAUGUGCAAAAUGUAACUUUCAUUAUAUUGUACAAAUUUAAGCAUUUGAACUUUAGGAGCUUAGUACAUAUUUUUUUUUCGGUCAAAACUAACUCUAAGAUGAUAAAUUAAAUUGCGAAAUUUUAGAUAUCUAUUUCUUUUACUUGAAUAAUAUCGAAUACUUAAAUAAAAUAUUAAAAUUUCUUGUUAUACAGAA